rnacentral:rRNA from 1 species
CCUACGGGUGGCAGCAGUGGGGAAUAUUGGACAAUGGGGGGAACCCUGAUCCAGCCAUGCCGCGUGUGUGAAGAAGGCCCUCGGGUUGUAAAGCACUUUCAGUGAGGAAGAACGCCUGGUGGUUAAUACCCAUCAGGAAAGACAUCACUCACAGAAGAAGCACCGGCUAACUCCGUGCCAGCAGCCGCGGUAAUACGGAGGGUGCGAGCGUUAAUCGGAAUUACUGGGCGUAAAGCGCGCGUAGGUGGCUUGAUAAGCCGGUUGUGAAAGCCCCGGGCUCAACCUGGGAACGGCAUCCGGAACUGUCAAGCUAGAGUGCAGGAGAGGAAGGUAGAAUUCCCGGUGUAGCGGUGAAAUGCGUAGAGAUCGGGAGGAAUACCAGUGGCGAAGGCGGCCUUCUGGACUGACACUGACACUGAGGUGUGAAAGCGUGGGUAGCAAACAGGAUUAGAUACCCGAGUAGUC